AUUGAACGCUGGCGGCAGGCCUAACACAUGCAAGUCGAGCGAGCGGCGGACGGGUGAGUAAUGUAUGGGGACUGCCCGAUAGAGGGGGAUAACUACUGGAAACGGUAGCUAAUCCCGCAUACUAUCGGAUAACCCAUAUGGGAUUAGCUAGUAGGUGAGGUAAUGGCUCACCUAGGCGACGAUCCCUAGCUGGUCUGAGAGGAUGAUCAGCAACACUGGGACGAAGACACGGCCCAGACUCCAAGGGAGGCAGAAGUGGGGAAUAUUGCACAAUGGGGGCAAGCCUGAGGCAGCCAGGCCGCGUGUAUGAAGAAGGCCCUAGGGUUGUAAAGUACUUUCAGUCGGGAGGCGUUACCGAAAGAAGAAGCACCGGCUAACUCCGUGCCAGCCGCCGCGGUAAUAC
rnacentral:rRNA from 1 species